GACGAACGCUGGCGGCGUGCUUAACACAUGCAAGUCGAACGGAAAGGCCCUGCUUUUGUGGGGUGCUCGAGUGGCGAACGGGUGAGUAACACGUGAUUAACCUGCCCUUGACUUUGGUAUAACUUCAGGAAACUGGGGCUAAUACCGGAUAGGAGCUCCUGCUGCAUGGUGUGGGUUGGAUAGUUUCGUCGGUUGGGGAUGGACUCGCGGCUUAUCAGCUUGUUGGUGGGGUAGUGGCUUACCAAGGCUUUGACGGGUAGCCGGCCUGAGAGGGUGACCGGCCACAUUGGGACUGAGAUACGGCCCAGACUCCUACGGGAGGCAGCAGUGGGGAAUAUUGCACAAUGGGCGGAAGCCUGAUGCAGCAACGCCGCGUGCGGGAUGACGGCCUUCGGGUUGUAAACCGCUUUCGCCUGUGACGAAGCGUGAGUGACGGUAAUGGGUAAAGAAGCACCGGCUAACUACGUG
rnacentral:rRNA from 1 species